GGAUGUGAGGGCGAUCUGGCUGCGACAUCUGUCACCCCAUUGAUCGCUAGGGUUGAUUCGGUUGAUCUGGCUGGCUAGGCGGGUGUCCCCUUCCUCCCUCACCGCUCCAUGUGCGUACCUCCCCAAGCUGCGCAGUCGGUCGAAGAGGACGACCAUCCCCGAUAGAGGAGGACCGUUCUUCGGUCAAGGGUAUACGAGUAGCUGCGCUCCCCUGCUAGAACCUCCAAACAAGCUCUCAAAAACCCCACUCGUCUCAGUAGUUACAUAUGUGGAAGUUAUAGAGUUCUUUUGGGGGAACAUCAUCACAAAUCAUUUCUUAAUUAAUAGAUGAUCAAAAAUCUUA
rnacentral:snRNA from 1 species